GCAAGUCGAACGGCAGCGCGAGAGAGCUUGCUCUCUUGGCGGCGAGUGGCGGACGGGUGAGUAAUAUAUCGGAACGUGCCCAGUAGCGGGGGAUAACUACUCGAAAGAGUGGCUAAUACCGCAUACGCCCUACGGGGGAAAGGGGGGGAUCGCAAGACCUCUCACUAUUGGAGCGGCCGAUAUCGGAUUAGCUAGUUGGUGGGGUAAAGGCUCACCAAGGCAACGAUCCGUAGCUGGUUUGAGAGGACGACCACCCACACUGGGACUGAGACACGCCCCAGACUCCUACGGGAGCCAGCAGUGGGGAAUUUUGGACAAUGGGGGAAACCCUGAUCCAGCCAUCCCGCGUGUAUGAUGAAGGCCUUCGGGUUGUAAAGUACUUUUGGCAGAGAAGAAAAGGUAUCCCCUAAUACGGGAUACUGCUGACGGUAUCUGCAGAAUAAGCACCGGCUAACUACGUGCCAGCAGCCGCGGUAAUACGUAGGGUGCAAGCGUUAAUCGGAAUUACUGGGCGUAAAGCGUGUGUAGGCGGUUCGGAAAGAAAGAUGUGAAAUCCCAGGGCUCAACCUUGGAACUGCAUUUUUAACUGCCGAGCUAGAGUAUGUCAGAGGGGGGUAGAAUUCCACGUGUAGCAGUGAAAUGCGUAGAUAUGUGGAGGAAUACCGAUGGCGAAGGCAGCCCCCUGGGAUAAUACUGACGCUCAGACACGAAAGCGUGCGGAGCAAACAGGAUUAGAUACCCUGGUAGUCCACGCCCUAAACGAUGUCAACUAGCUGUUGGGGCCGUUAGGCCUUAGUAGCGCAGCUAACGCGUGAAGUUGACCGCCUGGGGAGUACGGUCGCAAGAUUAAAACUCAAAGGAAUUGACGGGGACCCGCACAAGCGGUGGAUGAUGUGGAUUAAUUCGAUGCAACGCGAAAAACCUUACCUACCCUUGACAUGUCUGGAAAGCCGAAGAGAUUUGGCCGUGCUCGCAAGAGAACCGGAACACAGGUGCUGCAUGGCUGUCGUCAGCUCGUGUCGUGAGAUGUUGGGUUAAGUCCCGCAACGAGCGCAACCCUUGUCAUUAGUUGCUACCCAAGAGCAAUCUAAUUGAGACUGCUCGGUGACAAACCGGAAGAAAGGUGGGGAUGACGUCAAAUCCUCAUGGCCCUUAUGGGUAGGGCUUCACACGGUCAUACAAUGGUCGGGACAGAGGGUCGCCAACCCGCGAGGGGGAGCCAAUCUCAGAAACCCGAUCGUAGUCCGGAUCGCAGUCUGCAACUCGACUGCGUGAAGUCGGAAUCGCUAGUAAUCGCGGAUCAGAAUGUCGCGGUGAAUACGUUCCCGGGUCUUGUACACACCGCCCGUCACACCAUGGGAGUGGGUUUCACCAGAAGUAGGUAGCCUAACCGUAAGGAGGGCGCUACCACGGUGUUCCCUGGGGGG
rnacentral:rRNA from 1 species